ensembl:lncRNA
UUUAAGAAUGAGGAUGGAUACCAAAAUCUUUAAUACAGCAGGUUCAUACAAAUACAUGGAUACCUUAUACACGCAUAGUAAAUCUAAGCACAUGACAGUGCACGUGAAGGAAACAUGAGCCUACAAUGAGUGCGUAUGAAAAUAUGAUGGUAUUUUACUCCUUUUCCUGCUUUCAACAUCAUGAAACUCUUGGGAAAAAACCGCAGUAUUUUAAAGUAACAAUCAUGCAAAAGUGCUUGCAUAUUGCAUCUGUUUGUACUCCUUGCUAUUAGCAGAUGUAAAGAUACAGCAAUAAGGACACAUCGUCAGAGAACACCAGGUCAAAUCAACUAACUUCCAUCCCAUGAUUAACUAAAUCACUUGCUAUACAUUUAAUGCUAACAGAAGUGCUGGGUGUCUCUGCUGGUCUUCUGGAUAAAGCAUAUUCCCCCAUAUUAGCAGCUUUUAUACAGCAAACAGCCAGGAAUCUUGCAAAAGAGGACUGCAAUAAUUGUUCCUGAUACCACUGACCAUUGUAAGAAUUUGUAAGACAGGAAACGGACAAGUAAGGAGGAGUUUCAGACUCUAAACCGAACAAUGUUUUUCAGUCUUUCUGUAAAUACCAACCUUGUGUUGAACUUGAUCUACUGGAAUAUUAGGAUAAAUUCUCACAGACAAUGCAUUCAAACCCACUAUGAGAUUAGGUCACUUUUGUUAAUUAUAAGCCCAGCUCUGUAGACAGCGAGUGCUUUGGCCUCCCACUUGUUUCCAGAGGACCUGAGGGUGUUCCUUCCCCUCAAGAGGAUUAAGGUUGAUAAAUCAGUGGAGAGCUAUGCAAACUUUACCUUUGAGCUGCAAAGGAACACAGUCACCUGCAAACAGCAUAUAAAGAUACCACAUAAAUACUGGAGGAACCUUAUGCUACAAGAGAAAAAUGAACAAAGCAACGUGAUGCCAAGGGGUGACAAUAAACAAGGCUGUGGGAAACUCAAGGUUCAUUUCAAAUAAAGAAGGGAUACAGAAGCUUGGUUUCAGGAGUACGUCAUAUAUUUCACUGCACCUUUGCAGCAGUUUUUGAAUGGAUUAUUUAUAAACAGGAUAUUCUGGUAAGAAGAAAAGAUACUUAUUCAAUAUGACGCAUACUAUGUGGGGUUUUUUUCUAUGCUGGCAAGACUUCACAUAGAAAUACAAUCUCUGCUCAGCAAAUUUCAGUUUAUGGCAGUAAAUUACUCUUCAGAAGCAAUACAAGAAUAUUGGAACUUAUCUCUAAUGCUUGCUGUUACAGUAAAUGCUGGAGAAAAAAAGACAUUACAUUCGAAACCCAGCCCCUUGAAAGUAAAGAAAUGUUGUUUUUCUGUGUCAUAGUUUAAUAAUAGUUGGACAGAAGAAUCAAUCUGGGGCUGGAAACCACAGUCCUAGUUUGAACUCAGCAUUGUGUUCAAAGCCCAAAAGAUCAGCAGAGCCCAGACCUCCAGAUUUUGGUCAUCAGAGUAGUAAUUGUUUUAAUCUGUUUUUCUACAUUGCAACAGCGCAAAAGCAAAAUGAAAGAAAAGCCCUUGGACAGUAACAUUCAGAAAAUCAUCUCUACCAAGAAAAUCAACUCUAGAAGGAUCUACCUGCUUAACACAAAAAAAAGUAUGCAUUUGACACUGGGACUUAUUUCAGAAAAUGCAUUUCAAAGUGCUGUAGCACAAAUAUAAUGGAGCUGCCAUGACUCACAACGUAGUUUUCAAACUGUCAGAAAAAUUCCUUUUAGAUAUAUGUAUACAAAACUAAUUUCAAUAAGACAAUAAUUUAACAUUUAUUUUUAUCUGGGAGACGCCUAACCAUACACAUUUCACCUCAAAUAGCUAAACAUGCAGACAGGCUGUGUCUUUAACCUGACCAGAAGAACUGACCAGGCAUUACUCUCAAAUCCUGUUCAGAAUAGUUUGAUUGGGCAGCAAUGCCUGUCUUGGCCUCCAAAACAUCACUGAUGAGAACCAAACAUUUGGUCCCCCUGAACUAGCAAUGUUUCCCUACGUUUUUCAGUUGGCCAACUCUCUUCACUUCCAAACUUCCUGUAAUUGGCCUGAACUUUUCCAGCCAAAAAGAACUUUCUUAAAAAUUCAAACUCCAUUUGAGAACUGUGAAGAAUUACUUUACAAUAUUUCCUCUUAGCCUGCUGCGUAAAUGACUACAUUUCAAUUACUUCCUUCCUCUGAAUUAGAUGAACUAUUUGGCAUUGGUGGAAACUAAGUCAUUUUUACUCAAUGUAACUUUUAAAUCCUGAUGAUACUACCAAAUACCGCAGUUUAGUGCAAUGUACAAAGAGGUCAUACAUUACUACUAUAGAUAGUUCUAUCCUUUCCCCCCCCUCCUCUUUAUUACCAGUAUGGUUUCCCCUUUCUGUAAAACUAUUCUCAUGAGACCUCAUUUUACAAAGCAUGGAGCGGAAAAGGCAAAUAAGAGUGCUUC